rnacentral:rRNA from 1 species
AAUCAACGCUGGCGGCGUGCCUCAGACAUGCAGGUCGAACGAUUAAAAGCUCUCUUCGGAGAGUGCAUAGAGUGGCGCACGGGUGAGUAACACGUAAGUAAUCUACCUUCGAGGUGGGAAUAACGUCCGGAAACGGACGCUAAUACCGCAUAAUGCAGCGGCAUCGUUAGAUGACAGUUGUUAAAGAUUUAUCGCUUGAAGGAGGAGCUUGCGGCAGAUUAGCUAGUUGGUAAGGUAAUGGCUUACCAAGGCUACGAUCUGUAACCGGUCUUAGAGGACGGUCGGUCACACUGACACUGAA